GUGCUCACUUUGGCAGCACGUAUACUAAAAUUGUGAAUGAUACAAAGAAAAUUUUCAUGGUCCCUGAACAAGGAUAACAUGCAAAUUCAUGAAGCAUUUUAUAUUUUU
rnacentral:snRNA from 1 species